rnacentral:rRNA from 1 species
GUGGGGAAUAUUGCACAAUGGGGGAAACCCUGAUGCAGCGACGCCGCGUGGAGGAAGAAGGUCUUCGGAUUGUAAACUCCUGUUGUUGAGGAAGAUAAUGACGGUACUCAACAAGGAAGUGACGGCUAACUACGUGCCAGCAGCCGCGGUAAAACGUAGGUCACAAGCGUUGUCCGGAAUUACUGGGUGUAAAGGGAGCGCAGGCGGGAAGACAAGUUGGAAGUGAAAUCCAUGGGCUUAACCCAUGAACUGCUUUCAAAACUGUUUUUCUUGAGUAGUGCAGAGGUAGGCGGAAUUCCCGGUGUAGCGGUGGAAUGCGUAGAUAUCGGGAGGAACACCAGUGGCGAAGGCGGCCUACUGGGCACCAACUGACGCUGAGGCUCGAAAGUGUGGGUAGCAAACAGGAUUAGAAACCCCGGUAGUCC